CUGAGCUCAGAGGGGCAGUGGCCGUGCACUUGGGAUUGCUAACGGUGGAGUGAGAGCAGCAAUGCUGCAGCACAGGUCAGGGCUGGAAUGUGGGCACAAAGGCUCUGCCUGCACUGCAGGUCAGGUCAUGCUGCUGGUUAAACGUGUCCUGCCAAGCUGUCAUAAUGCCCUCCAGCCUGGGCAGCAGGAGAGCAGGGUUUGCAAGACUGGAUUAAGGCUACACAGAGCCUUAAACUUGCAAAAGGGAUUUGUGAGCAGCCUGCUUGUCAAGAACAAAUACUAGUCCAAAGAAAUGUGUGACUUAUUGACCUUGGGUUCACUGAACCUUCAUCUUGAUGCUUCCGUACCACGAAGGAAUCGGCUUCUCUGAAAAUGAAAGUUCCCAGAUUAGAAUGGAAGCUUCAACAAAGGACCUGUGUGGCUUUACAAAUACACAUCGAUUAGAGGACUUUGGAAGAGCUUUGUUAGAAAAGUGGAAUUAUGAAAAGCAAAUGUUUGAGAGGAAUUGAUGGCUCUCACCUGCAGGCUGUCACCCACCAGCUUCCCUGCUCAGGAUAAUCCCUGGAGAAUCCACCCAUGGUGCUGCACGGGCUGGUGCCCUCGGAAAAACAGGAGUCAGAUAUCCAGAAAAUCACAAAGCAGAGUUGCAGCCUGAAACUGAAGCCCCAAACCACUUCUGAGUGGCAGGUUUAAAGCAGCUGAGAAACAAAAGGUCUGUCAACUCGUUUCACUGCUCAGAAAACACCAAACAAGAAAUAAAGCCCAGUUAAGAAUGAGGAGAAGGAAGAGGCUCAGUGUAACAGAUUCCUUUGGUCUUAACCAAUAUUGGAGCUUGACAGACUCGGGUUGAGAAUCAAUUCUGUUCUGAAAAAUAUAUGUAGAUAUUUAUGCUGCUGGAGAGGCACAGUUCAACAUUUCCCCCCAUUUUUCUGGAGUUUUGCUGUUAAAAAAUAACAGCCCUCUAUUUGUGGAGAAGUUUUGUGGAAGUGGAAGCAGGCUGCCUCUCCUGACCUGCUCCCUUGUGGAACAUCUGGGAGCUCAAUUUCCUCCUUCAAGCCUGUCCUCAGGUUUGGGGAGGGACACAUGAUGAAAGCAGAAGAGCUGAGUCACCCCUGGAGAAGACAUUUCCCACCACAGAUGUUCUGCCGUGUUAUCCUGGUGUCUCUUGUUGCUGGAGGAGCUCCUGUGUCUCUCCCAUUCCUCCUCCCGUGGCAUUGCUACAGCAAAGGCACACUCCCUGCUCAGCGUUUGCUGCAGAACAAGUAAAUCCUCUCUUUGGAAGCAUCCCUGCACUGAGACCUUGCCUUUGAAAGGUGAUAAUGUGAAAAACAUCCUGCCACGUUUUGCAAUGAAGAUCUAUUUGCAUUUGUUAUCUGGGAGCUGUCCAUCAUUUCUAACACGGUGACUCCUGGGUGACUCUUCUGUGCUUCUCCCUGGCACCGUGUGCCAGCUUUGUGCCAAUAAUCCUGGAUGACAGUUAUGGAGGUCUAAAUUCAUCCCUCAUUUCUGUUAUAUAUUGCCUGUGAUUUAAAGCCACUUAAAUAUAUAUUGCCUGUGAUAUAAAGUCACUUAA